rnacentral:rRNA from 1 species
GACGUAGGGGGCCAGCGUUGCUCGGAAUUACUGGGCGUAAAGGGUUCGUAGGCGGUGUGGCAAGUCGGUAGUGAAAUCUCCAGGCUUAACUUGGAGGCUGCUGCCGAAACUGCCGUGCUAGAGUGCAGGAGAGGCGAGUGGAAUUACAGGUGUAGCGGUGAAAUGCGUAGAUAUCAGGAGGAACACCGGCGGUGUAGACGGCUUGCUAGACCAUAACUGACGCUGAGGCACGAAAGCGUGGGUAGCAAACAGG